UACUGAGUGUACACAUGUGGAAGCCUGAGUAUUUAGUAAAGAGAAUAGAAGCUAAACAUUAGAAAAGAAGGAGAAAAGGGAAAGGGGAAGAAUAGGAAGAUUAAGAGGGAAAGAAAGAGGGAAGGUUGCUGCUGCUGCUGUUUCGGUUCGCCGUUGUGCGACGCAGCAACCUGUUCGACCCUUUCCUGAUGGUUCAAUCAUGGAAUUUUGGUGUCGAGACGAGCUGUCAGGAUAGGAACUUUUCACACAUAUUGCAUUGUACUCUGAGGUCGUCAAGGUGCUGGAGAUCAAGUUGGAUGAAGACUAGCUGUUGGUGUGGAUUUAAUGGUGACCACGAUGUUAUGUGGAUUUUUGCUUAAAUCAUCCUUAAACUUGGGUUUGGAUGCUACCAAUUAAAUAUCUUAGCUACUAUUUUGUAAAAGGAAGAAAACAACCAGUUUGAAACUUAGGGACAUAGUUGGCUAGUGAGUUGUUAGAUUGUAUAAACAAAUAUUUUGGUAUGUAUAGAAAGGUUGACUGUAAAUCUUUUGAAUA